rnacentral:lncRNA from 1 species
GGAAACAUGAUGCACCUGACCUUAAUUUUGAGCUUCAUGGCUCAAAUAAUUACACGUACAUGUAUGUAUAAUUAUGUAUAAUUAAUUUGCCAAAAACAGAAAGUAAACUUUUUUCACGUUGUCAUUAUGGGGUGUUGUGUGUAGAAUUCUGGAGGAAAAAAAUGAAUUUAAUACAUUUUGGAAAAAGGAUGUAACAUAACUAAAUGUGGAUAAAGUGAUGCGCUGUGAAUACUUUACAGGCGCACUGUAAAUAACCAUAUUACAUGUGCGUUUACUAUAAACUGUCCGGAAAUGGCUCCCCUAAUUCUGCGUGUGUGUCGUGAAUGUCUUGGGAAAAAAAGCGGAUGUUGUUGGAUGUCGCCGGCCCCGCCCACUCCGCCUCUCGCCACGCCCCGUCCACAGCCUGGGCGUGGCCUCGCAACAAAGUUCACCGUCGCUGUAAUAUUUGAACACGGGGCGGUGGCUACUGGGUACUGCCAGAGCCCGUGGUGCCAAAUCUCGCUUCACAACUUCCAGAGACCUUCCGAAGAAAACACGCCGUCGUCAGCCAUGCACCGCGAGACGGCGGAGAAGACGGGGACGCCGAGGAAACGGACACUUUCACGGGGGAUGAGCGAAGAGGAGUCGCUUCGGUAUAUAAUAAAGGAGGCUGAGGAAAAUAACAAGCGUCUGUCUCUAAGCGACAGCAGGUUUGGCUCCAUGAAGAGGGGACAAAGAGGAGAAAGCUUGUGCGAAGAUGAUACCUUGACGGAACCCCCUGAAAUGAGGGACAUUUCUUCUGAUGAUGCUGUUCAGGAGCUGCAGGUCGAGCGGGAGGUGCUGCUCUUUCAGGUGGACUGUCUGCAGGACGCUUUGGAGAGGACAGAGGAGAUGUUGGCCGAGGCACAGAGAGAGGUUGACGGUGCUAGUAUGGAGCUGGAACGAGAGCGGGAGGCGAGGAGGAAGUUGGAGGACAUGGUCAGGUCUCUGAAACAGGAGGUGGAUCGGUUGAAGGAGGAGAGUAAUUCUAUUCAAGUUGUCCCAGACGAGACUUCAGCCCCUGGCACUGCACAACAAGAUGAAAAGACUGUGGAGGACAGCAGAGAACUUCAUGUGAAGAAAGGGAACCUAACGAAUGCAGGACACAAACAUGAUCAGAAGCAGGUUGUUAAACCAUCACAAACAACUACCUUGAAGCUGGGAGAUGUUACACCUGCACAGUCACCCAAAGCUACAGAUGGCACAGAAGUACGUACAGAUCCCCCAUGGCUUCACGGUGCACCCAUGGGUACAUCUGUAGAUGAAGACCACAGGGGACCAGUGCCAGAGAAGGAUACACAGGAGGGGGGAAACAAGAGCCCUCAGGCCAUUUUAACCAGGAUUUUAAAGACUUUUGGUCGAACUCCUUCUUUGGAGGUGUCCGAACCACCUCAACCAGAGGGAAUACUUCAGAGUCCUCGGGCUGGCCAAGGGGUCUCCAAAGCAGACACAAGCCCUACCAGGGAUCAUCAGGAAGACAACGAUGAAAUCAGUUGUUAUGAAGAUGCGCGCUCAGAGCUUCAAGAGCAAGAGGCCAUUGACUCCUCCACACCAGACGGACCUCCCCUGGAGGAAGCAGGUUUUCCAGAGGAUGAUAAGGGAGAGGAGGAAGACGAAGGCAUUCCAGCAGAUAUUGAUGAUGCGGGGAGCCCAAAAAAACAGGACUGCAUUUUAUCCUAAUCACACAGUCUGCAUCAGCUGCUUCUCAGAUUUGAUUGAUGUAAAGGCUAAAAUCAGGAUGAUUGAAUGUGAUUCUUUAUUUCAGAACAGUGACACCAAAUAGAUUUAUUUACUCCUUUAAGAAUAUUUGUAUUUUCUUGCUGGUCUUUUUAGAGCAUUGAGUUACAGCCAGAACUAGUUAAUACUUGGACUGAAAGGUUGGCUUGAUAGUUAGCUGAAGUUCUAAGAAGAGGAACUAACUUUCUGGUGAGGCUUUUGUUGUGCGACUACUUUCAUUUCUGACAGUGUGUGAGACCUUGCAAAGGAUCUCAUUUGUGCAGAUAACAAUGUUAUGAAAUGAAAUGUCAAUGCUACUUUAGAUAAUCACUGUAUGAUGUCUCGUCCAAUGUUAAUCUGAGAGCACCGGUUGCACAACUUCACUGCGCUUUUUAUGUGAAAGAGAGAGCUGCUCAACCUAUCCGAGACCAAUCUAGUCCUAACUCUGAGUCUGAGCACCAGACUGGAGGAUUUAGUACUAGCCUUCCUUUAAUGUACUUUCCAUUCAUUCCUCCCCUUGAUUAAUGCUGAUCUUUUCUUAAUCACAGAAAAGCCUGCUGUUCUGUCUCCAUACAGACCACUGACAAUGCCACUGUUUACAGUAAUCACUGUCUGAUCUCAUUCAGGCGGAUGGCACAGGCACCUGAACGAGGGAAUAAGAAGAUUUUUCUGUUGUUCACGUCACUUUUAUAGGGUUUAUUGGGUUUGUUUGUGCUGUCAACAGAGAUUUCAGCUGCUUUGAUAAGAGAAAAACACUUUAUCUGGGAGUAUGUGGCCAUGUGCCUUUCCCCACAAAACCUUAAUGCGUUUUAGGCUUUCAGGAAGGUAGAACUGGGGGACUUAUUCAGUGACACUGCAUGGACCAAGAAGGAUGUGCAUAUCAUACUACCUGCACAGACUAGCACAAAGUGAGAUCCUCACUGAAAUUUCACUGACCUAAAACCGAUGUUCACUACAGAGGCUGUCCUUUUUUCAUGUAGUGCUGUUGUGAAAUUGUUAUACUUUAGUUUCUCUUAGUUUUUCUUUUCCCCACCUUGCAUAAUUAGACAUUGCAGGACAGUGUUUCUCUUCCUUUUUCUUCUUUGUUAUCUCUAGUUUCUGUUACAGUAUGAAUCUUAGCAUUCUAAUUCAGGAUUUAUGAUCAGCCCCAUCCAUUUUUUAUUUUAAUAUAUUGUUUUGAUAUUGUUCUUCAUUCAGGUUUUAACUAAUUUCUACUUAGUUUAGUGUGAAGAGGUACUCUCAUAAGCUAUUCUUUAUUUUUUACCUCCUGUAAUGCAUUUCUAUGCCUAGCGCACAUGAAAAAAAAAAACUGCACUUCUUUGUGCAAAGUUAAGAGUGCUGUGGCACCCUCUUGUUGAAGCAUAUAGAAAGAAAAUUGCAUCUGUUGCACAAAAAAUGCUGUACACUCGUCUUAACAUAACUAAGGUGGCAUUGCUUGAAGUUUACAGUGUUUUCAGUGUUAGAAUAGAGAACCUGCAUUUUCCUCAUGUUUGUUAUAAUAUGCAGAAUGUGCAUUGCGAAAUGUAUGAUGACCCCCUUGACAGCCAAUAUCAAUUUAUACAAACUUUUUGCAUAUGUUUACUGAAGGAGGAAGUAGUGGUCUCCAAGCGACUUUCAAAUGCUAUAAUAAAUACUUGCAUAU